rnacentral:rRNA from 1 species
AUACGGAGGGUGCAAGCGUUAUCCGGAUUUACUGGGUUUAAAGGGUACGCAGGCGGUAAUUUAAGUCAGUGGUGAAAGCCUACAGCUCAACUGUAGAACUGCCAUUGAAACUGAAUUACUUGAGUAUGGUAGAGGUAGGCGGAAUACAACAUGUAGCAGUGAAAUGCAUAGAUAUGUUGUAGAACACCGAUUGCGAAGGCAGCUUACUAAACCAUUACUGACGCUCAUGUACGAAAGCGUGGGGAGCGAACAGAAUUAGAUACCCUAGUAGUCC